AUCUUCUUUGGAAAAAUGUCUGUUCAGUACAGAGAAGAUUAGCAUGCCCCUGUGCAAGGAUGACAUGCAAAUUUGUGAAGCGUUCCUUAUUAUU
rnacentral:snRNA from 1 species